UCUCCGUAGGUGAACCUGCGGAGGGAUCAUUACAGGGGUCAUGCCCUACCGGGUAGAUCUCCCACCCUAUGUUAUUAUUACUUUGUUGCUUUGGCGGUCCGUUACGCUCCCGCGCGACUGCCGGCCCCGGCCGGUAAGGGCCCGCCAGAGGACCCAAAACCCUGAAUAUUUGUGUCGUCUGAUGAAUAUAUAAUAGUUAAAACUUUCAACAACAGAUCUCUUGGUUCUG
rnacentral:misc_RNA from 1 species